rnacentral:rRNA from 1 species
GAUGAACGCUGGCGGCGUGCCUAAUACAUGCAAGUCGAGCGAAUGGAUUAAGAGCUUGCUCUUAUGAAGUUAGCGGCGGACGGGUGAGUAACACGUGGGUAACCUGCCCAUAAGACUAGGAUAACUCGGGGAAACCGGGGCUAAUACCGGAUAACAUUUUGAACCGCAUGGUUCGAAAUUGAAAGGCGGCUUCGGCUGUCACUUAUGGAUGGACCCGCGUCGCAUUAGCUAGUUGGUGAAGUAACGGCUCACCAAGGCAACGAUGCGUAGCCGACCUGAGAGGGUGAUCGGCCACAGUGGGACUGAGACACGGCCCAGACUCCUACGGGAGGCAGCAGUAGGGAAUCUUCCGCAAUGGACGAAAGUCUGACGGAGCAACGCCGCGUGAGUGAUGAAGGCUUUCGGGUCGUAAAACUCUGUUGUUAGGGAAGAACAAGUGCUAGUUGAAUAAGCUGGCACCUUGACGGUACCUAACCAGAAAGCCACGGCUAACUACGUGCCAGCCGCCGCGGUAA